rnacentral:misc_RNA from 1 species
UGUGGGAGCGAGCCUGCUCGCGAGGCGGUCUGUCAGUCACAUUCGUUUUGACUGGAACACCGCCUUCGCGAGCAGGCUCGCUCCCACA